rnacentral:ncRNA from 1 species
AUAAUGGUACCCCUGUCCAGCCACAGUCUCAAGCAAUGGGGGCAGCUCGGAGAGAUCCUCGGAGGGGUUAGAUUCCC